AUACGGAGGGUGCAAGCGUUGUCCGGAUUUAUUGGGUUUAAAGGGUGUGUAGGCGGUAUAUUAAGUCAGUGGUGAAAGCCUGCGGCUCAACCGUAGAAAUGCCAUUGAUACUGAUAGACUUGAGUAUGGACGAGGUAGGCGGAAUUUAUGGUGUAGCGGUGAAAUGCAUAGAUACCAUAAAGAACACCGAUAGCGAAGGCAGCUUACUAGGCCAUAACUGACGCUGAGGCACGAAAGCGUGGGGAGCGAACAGGAUUAGAAACCCUAGUAGUCC
rnacentral:rRNA from 1 species